rnacentral:ncRNA from 1 species
UCCACUAGGGGAGCCAUUAUGGCUGAGACAAGAAUGAAUCUUGGACCCUUUGAACCUGAUCUAGUUCGUACUAGCGUAGGAAAGUGGAGCCUU